rnacentral:rRNA from 1 species
GCACAACGCGAAGAACCUUACCCACCUUUGACAUGUACGGAACUUGCCAGAGAUGGCUUGGUGCUCGAAAGAGAGCCGUAACACAGGUGCUGCAUGGCUGUCGUCAGCUCGUGUCGUGAGAUGUUGGGUUAAGUCCCGCAACGAGCGCAACCCUUGUCAUUAGUUGCUACAUUUGGUUGGGCACUCUAAUGAGACUGCCGGUGACAAACCGGAGGAAGGUGGGGAUGACGUCAAGUCCUCAUGGCCCUUAUAGGUGGGGCUACACACGUCAUACAAUGGCCGGUACAAAGGGUUGCCAACCCGCGAGGGGGAGCUAAUCCCAUAAAGCCGGUCGUAGUCCGGAUCGCAGUCUGCAACUCGACUGCGUGAAGUCGGAAUCGCUAGUAAUCGUGGAUCAGAAUGUCACGGUGAAUACGUUCCCGGGUCUUGUACACACCG